rnacentral:rRNA from 1 species
GGGUUGUGAGGUUAAGCGACCAAGCGUACACGGUGGAUGCCCUGGCAGUCAGAGGCGAUGAAGGACGUGCUAAUC